GGUACUGUGGCUUAGUUGGAAAAAGUACCAGUCUCAUAAACAGGCGAUCCUGGGUUCAAAUCCCAACAAUAUUCCU